CUCUAUGUUCCACUAUGUUGAUGCAAAUGCAUUGAUGUUGUGGCCAAUUGAGCUUUGCUUGGUAUCCUGGAUACGGAACAUUAUGUGGGCAUGGGGUCUUUUGUGGCUCUUGUUUUGUCCUUGAUUAGUGUUCUUUGAAACGACAGUUCAUGUGCGCCUAGGCUCGUACCUGCGUGAUGAUCUUUGUCAAAGAGGAAUGCUACCUGGUUGAUCCUGCCAGUAGUCAUAUGCUUGUCUCAAAGAUUAAGCCAUGCAUGUGUAAGUA
rnacentral:misc_RNA from 1 species